CGCGGCCUAUCAGCUUGUUGGUGGGGUGAUGGCCUACCAAGGCGACGACGGGUAGCCGGCCUGAGAGGGUGAUCGGCCACAUUGGGACUGAGAUACGGCCCAGACUCCUACGGGAGGCAGCAGUGGGGAAUAUUGCACAAUGGGCGGAAGCCUGAUGCAGCGACGCCGCGUGAGGGAUGACGGCCUUCGGGUUGUAAACCUCUUUCAGCAGGGACGAAGCGUAAGUGACGGUACCUGCAGAAGAAGCACCGGCUAACUAUGUGCCAGCAGCCGCGGUAAUACGUAGGGUGCGAGCGUUGUCCGGAAUUACUGGGCGUAAAGAGCUCGUAGGCGGUUUGUCACGUCGUCUGUGAAAUCCUAGGGCUUAACCCUGGACGUGCAGGCGAUACGGGCUGACUUGAGUACUACAGGGGAGACUGGAAUUUCUGGUGUAGCGGUGGAAUGCACAGAUAUCAGGAAGAACACCGAUGGCGAGGGCAGGUCUCUGGGUAGUAACUGACGCUGAGGAGCGAAAGCAUGGGUAGCGAACAGGAUUAGAUACCCUGGUAGUCCAUGCCGUAAACGGUGGGCGCUAGGUGUGGGGUUCCUUCCACGGGCUCCGCGCCGUAGCUAACGCAUUAAGCGCCCCGCCUGGGGAGUACGG
rnacentral:rRNA from 1 species